rnacentral:misc_RNA from 1 species
CACGGUCCGCCCCCGUCAGAGGACCCCUUUUCUCUGUUUCUAUUUGUUUCUUCUGAGUAAACAAGCAAAUUAAUUAAAACUUUCAACAACGGAUCUCUUGGUUCUGGCAUCUAUGAAGAACGCAGCGAAAUGCGAUAAGUAAUGUGUAUUGCAGAAUUCAGUGUAUCAUCUAAUCUUUGAACGCACAUUGCACCCGCCAGUAUUCUGGCGGGCAUGCCUGUUCAAACGUCAUUACAACCCUCAGGCCCCCGGGCCUGGUGUUGGGGAUCGGCGGAAGCCCCCUGCGGGCACAACGCCGUCCCCCAAAUACAGUGGCGGUCCCGCCGCAGCUUCCAUUGCGUAGUAGCUAACACCUCUCAACUGGAGAGCGGCGCGGCCACCCCGUAUAACACCCAACUUCUGAAUGUUGACCUCUAAUCUGGUAGGAAUACCCGCUGAACUUAAGCAUAUCAAUAAGCGGAGGAAAA